rnacentral:rRNA from 1 species
UCCGUAGGUUGAUAAUUAAGUCAGAGGUGAAAUCCUGCCGCUCAACGGUAGAAUUGCCUUUGAUACUGGUUAUCUUGAGUUAUUAUGAAGUAGUUAGAAUAUGUAGUGUAGCGGUGAAAUGCAUAGAUAUUACAUAGAAUACCAAUUGCGAAGGCAGAUUACUAAUAAUAAACUGACACUGAUGGACGAAAGCGUGGGGAGCGAACA